rnacentral:rRNA from 1 species
UACGUAGGGUGCAAGCGUUGUCCGGAAUUAUUGGGCGUAAAGAGCUCGUAGGCGGUUCGUCACGUCGGCUGUGAAAUCCCGAGGCUCAACCUCGGGUCUGCAGUCGAUACGGGCGGACUUGAGUACUGCAGGGGAGACUGGAAUUCCUGGUGUAGCGGUGAAAUGCGCAGAUAUCAGGAGGAACACCGGUGGCGAAGGCGGAUCUCUGGGCCAUUACUGACGCUGAGGAGCGAAAGCGUGGGGAGCGAACAGG